AGUGGUCCACAAGCCUGCUGUAACCCAGCAGGCUAGCACAUGAAUUUCGUUGUCACCAGUCAUUUGUCUCUCCUGGUACUAGUGUCCAUCAUCCAUUGGCCUUAGUUUGCGUCCUCCCUAUGCCUCCAACAAGCCAAAAGUUACCACUUACCACCUUAUGCAGCAUUCCAAUUGGAAUCGUCUGUAAAUAUUAGGAGUUUGAGAUUAGGACUUUGAACUAAUCAAUCCAAUUUCCAUAACUUCAAUUGAAACUUCUAUAUAUCUAGACUAAUAUUAUUUUGCUCAAUUUGUGUUAGAGACAACUUAGCUUCUUGUUAUCUAGAUUGUGCUUUUGAAAGAAAAGUAGGCAUCUACUCCCUUCUUUAAAAACGGAGGUAGUACUUUAUGAUGGAAAGGUUUGUCAAAUAUCAGCAAAAAAGGAUAACAGAAGAAACAGAACAUUUGUUCAGUUUUAGUUUAUCAUUAUUCUGAUUGUUAUAGAAAGUCAGAACUGGUCGACACUUGCCAUCCGAUCUGUAUUCGUCUUGCAGUAUACUGUUCUGAAUGCAAAUUUUUCCAUGCAGGAGCAGGAAGUUGUGAGUCCGGUAAAAGCUAAAUUAUCAAGCAUUCCACCUCCAUACCAGAAGCCACUGAAGCCUUCCCUCCGCCCC
rnacentral:lncRNA from 1 species